rnacentral:rRNA from 1 species
CCCUUAGAUGUUCUGGGCCGCACGCGCGCUACACUGAUGCAUUCAACGAGUCCAACCUUGACCGAGAGGUCCGGGUAAUCUUUGAAACUGCAUCGUGAUGGGGCUAGAUUAUUGCAAUUAUUAAUCUUCAACGAGGAAUGCCUAGUAAGCGUGAUUCAUCAAAUCGCGUUGAUUACGUCCCUGCCCUUUGUACACACCGCCCGUCGCUCCUACCGAUUGAGUGUGUUGGUGAGGAGUUUGGAUUGGCCUCGGAAGGUGGUUCGCCACCGUCCGUAGCUGAGAGGUUCUCCAAACCGCCCCACUUAGAGGAAGGAGAAGUCGUAACA